rnacentral:rRNA from 1 species
GGUGAGUAACGCGUGGGGAACCUACCUCUUUGUGGGGAAUAACGUUCCGAAAGGAAUGGUAAUACCGCAUGAGACCGAUGGCUGGGAUGCUGUCGGUGAAACCCAGGGACCGCAAGGCCUGGGGCAAGGAGAGGGUCCUGCGUCUGAUUAGCUAGUUGGCGGGGUAACGGCCCACCAAGGCAUCGAUCAGUAGCCGGCCUGAGAGAGUGAUCGGCCACACUGGAACUGAGACACGGUCCAGACUCCUACGGGAGGCAGCAGUGGGGAAUUUUGCGCAAUGGGCGAAAGCCUGACGCAGCAACGCCGCGUGGGUGAUGAAGGUCUUCGGAUCGUAAAACCCUGUCGUCAGGGACGAAGGUUGCGUGUCGAACAGAUGCGUAACUUGACGGUACCUGGAGAGGAAGCCCCGGCUAACUCUGUGCCAGCAGCCGCGGUAAUACAGAGGGGGCAAGCGUUAUUCGGAAUUAUUGGGCGUAAAGGGCGCGUAGGCGGUGUCUUAAGUGAGAUGUGUAAUCCCCGAGCUUAACUUGGGAACUGCAUCUCAGACUGGGGCGCUAGAGUACUGGAGAGGGUGGUAGAAUUCCACGUGUAGCGGUGAAAUGCGUAGAGAUGUGGAGGAAUACCAGUGGCGAAGGCGGCCACCUGGACAGUAACUGACGCUGAGGCGCGAAAGUGUGGGGAGCAAACAGGAUUAGAUACCCUGGUAGUCCACGCUGUAAACGAUGAACACUUGGUGUGGUGGGAGUUGACCCCUGCCGUGCCGGAGCUAACGCGAUAAGUGUUCCGCCUGGGGAGUA